GAUGAACGCUGGCGGCGUGCCUAAUACAUGCCAGUCGAGCGAACGGACGAGAAGCUUGCUUUUCUGAUGUUAGCGGCGGACGGGUGUGUAACACGUGGAUAACCUACCUAUAAGACUGGGAUAACUUCGGGAAACCGGAGCUAAUACCGGAUAAUAUUAUGAACCGCAUGGUUCAAAAGUGAAAGACGGUCUUGCUGUCACUUAUAGAUGGAUCCGCGCUGCAUUAGCUAGUUGGUAAGGUAACGGCUUACCAAGGCAACGAUGCAUAGCCGACCUGAGAGGGUGAUCGGCCACACUGGAACUGAGACACGGUCCAGACUCCUACGGGAGGCAGCAGUAGGGAAUCUUCCGCAAUGGGCGAAAGCCUGACGGAGCAACGCCGCGUGAGUGAUGAAGGUCUUCGGAUCGUAAAACUCUGUUAUUAGGGAAGAACAUAUGUGUAAGUAACUGUGCACAUCUUGACGGUACCUAAUCAGAAAGCCACGGCUAACUACGUG
rnacentral:rRNA from 1 species